rnacentral:misc_RNA from 1 species
UCUACAAUGGCGGAUGACAACAAAUAUGGAUAGAUUCAUUACACGUCUGUUCAUAUUUUUGUUAUAUUCAAGUAUUGGGAUUUCUAAAGCAUAUUCAGGUCAGUGUUCCAAAUCCACAUGUAAAAGAGGUACUUGCUACACAGUAGGAAAUAAAGUCGGACUUUUAUGUUCAUGUCCAAUAUUCAGAACUGGGCCAAGGUGUGAAAAAGAGUCGUACCCAUGUUCCUCCUGCGAGAAGACUGCUAGAGUUGACUGUAUUGGUUUACCAGAUGGAACAGCUCGCUGUAUUUGUACAAAGUGGAGAUACAAGAAAAUGAAUAAAAUACCUACCUCCAUAUGUUACUAUAAAAAGGCCAAGAAAAAUAGACAAAGCUUGUGUAAAAAGGGAAGACAUUCGUGCAGUCCUGCUCAAGAAUGCGUGAAUUAUGCUCAAGCUGGUACGAACACACAGAUCACGUGUCAGUGUCCAGCAGGCACCAGGCGUGGACAUAAUUGCCAAGAAGGUUAUGAAAGAAUUCCUUUCAAUGGUCAAGCCACGUGUACGCACAUCAAGGGACAAGAACCUAUUUGUCUUUGUCAGAGAUAUGGGAAGAAACCAGGAUUUUGCAAACCACUGCAGCCAAACGGAAGGCCACCAGUUUUGAGAGGAAAUAAAAAGACAAAAGGCAGUUCCUAUUUUAGAAAACACUACAGAAAAUUACGAGUCAAGGGUAAAAGUAAAACGACUCCAGGCAAACCAUCUUUGCUGAGAAAACAUAAAAGUACACCAAGGUCAGGAAGGCCACCAGUUUUGAAGGGAAGUAAAAAGACAACAGGCAAUUCCUAUUUUAGAAAACACUACAGAAAACCAGGAAUCGGCGGUAAAGGUAAAAAGACUCGAGGCAGAAAACCACAAGUCAAGGGUAAAAGCACAAGGAAUCGAGGCAGAAAAACGAGUGUCAAGGGUAAAAGCAAAAGCACUCGAGGCAAAAAAACACGAGUAAAGGGUAAAAGUAAAACGACUCGAGGCAGAAAAACGAGUGUCAAGGGUAAAAGCAAAAGGACUCGAGGCAGAAAACCACGAGUCAAGGGUAAAAGUAAAAGGACUCGAGGCAGAAAACCACAAGUCAAGGGUAAAAGCACAAGGAAUCGAGGCAGAAAAACGAGUGUCAAGGGUAAAAGCAAAAGGACUCGAGGCAAAAAAACACGAGUAAAGGGUAAAAGUAAAACGACUCGAGGCAGAACAACGAGUGUCAAAGGUAAAAGAAAAAGUGCUGGAGGCAGAAAACCACGAGUCAAGGGUAAAAGGACUCGAGGCAGAAAAACGAGUGUCAAGGGUAAAAGUAAAAGGACUCGAGUCAGAAAACCACAAGUCAAGGGUAAAAGUAAAAGAACUCGAGGCAGAAAAUCACGAGUCAAGGGUAAAAGUAAAAGGACUCGAGGCAGAAAAUCACGAGUCAAGGGUAAAAGUAAAAGGACUCGAGGCAAAAAAACACGAGUAAAGGGUAAAAGUAAAACGACUCGAGGAAGGCCACCAGUUUUGAAGGGAAGUAAAAAGACAACAGGCAAUUCCUAUUUUAGAAAACACUACAGAAAACCAGGAAUCAGUGGUAAAGGUAAAAAGACUCGAGGCAGAAAACCACAAGUCAAGGGUAAAAGCACAAGGAAUCGAGGCAGAACAACGAGUGUCAAGGGUAAAAGAAAAGUACUGGAGGCAGAAAACCACGAGUCAAGAGUAAAAGUAAAAGGACUCGAGUCAGAAAACCACAAGUCAAAGGUAAAAGUAAAAGAACUCGAGGCAGAAAAACGAGUGUAAAGGGUAAAAGUAAAAGGACUCGAGGCAGAAAAACACGAGUCAAGGGUAAAAGUAAAACGACUGGAGAAACACGAGUGAAGGGUAAAAGUAAAACGAUUCGAGGCAGAAAAUCACGAGUCAAGGGUAAAA